AGCAUGCUGGAGUCGACUCGGCUGAAGUAGGAGUCGACUCGGCUGAAACAGGAGUCACUUGUGAAUAGUAGUCUGUCGGCACUGUAGCUGGGAGUCGGCUCCGCACUGUAGCACUGAAGUUGGAGUCGACUCGAGAUCACCGUAGCGUUGAAAAUCAACUUUCUGUUUUUUUUGUUUGUUCUCAGUCGGAGUCGACUCGUAGAGUAUCGGAGUCGACUCGAGCACUGUUUCUUGAAACUCUAGAGUGCCAGAGUCGACUCUAAACUUCCCGGAGUCGACUCGAGGACUAUUCUUUUGAAUCUUUCUUUGAAUUUGCUCCUUCAACU
rnacentral:lncRNA from 1 species